rnacentral:rRNA from 1 species
AAUAGAUACCCGGGUAGUCCACGCCGUAAACGAUGAGUGCUAAGUGUUUAGGGGGUUUCCGCCCCUUAGUGCUGCAGCUAACGCAUUAAGCACUCCGCCUGGGGAGUACGGUCGCAAGACUGAAACUCAAAGGAAUUGACGGGGGCCCGCACAAGCGGUGGAGCAUGUGGUUUAAUUCGAAGCAACGCGAAGAACCUUACCAGGUCUUGACAUCCCACUGACCGCUAUGGAGACAUAGUUUUCCCUUCGGGGACAGUGGUGACAGGUGGUGCAUGGUUGUCGUCAGCUCGUGUCGUGAGAUGUUGGGUUAAGUCCCGCAACGAGCGCAACCCUUGAUCUUAGUUGCCAUCAUUUAGUUGGGCACUCUAAGGUGACUGCCGGUGACAAACCGGAGGAAGGUGGGGAUGACGUCAAAUCAUCAUGCCCCUUAUGACCUGGGCUACACACGUGCUACAAUGGACGGUACAAACGGUUGCCAACCCGCGAGGGGAGCUAAUCCGAUAAAACCGUUCUCAGUUCGGAUUGUAGGCUGCAACUCGCCUACAU